UUCGCUUUGGAAUCUAUAUAUUUGACGUUAUCUCAAAUUGACCCCACUAAACCCACAAGUAACCUUUGAGGGCCCAUUCGACUAUAACACAACAAAUGAUUUGACAUCAGAAAUUACCUAAUCACCAUCAUAUUUCCAUAUCAUCUUGGUUGAAUGUCAAAGGUUGUUUUCGGACUUUUUUUUUUUUUUUUUUUUUUUUUUUUUUUUUUUUUUUUUUUUU
rnacentral:lncRNA from 1 species